CUUACCUGUACAUAUGCCUUUGUUCGGUGUGUCUGGCUUUUGCUCUGAUAAAGGCCUGAGGCAGGUUGAGACAUAAAUGUGACAGCAAGGAUUAUGGGACUUUUUGAGGAUGUUUCCCUACUUAAAGUGAAGUGUGUACAAACAAAUGAGAUGCUGCCGAGAAGAGCUGAUCCUCACCCAUGGGAGGAAGUAAAGCCGGGCCCCAUGGAGGAAAACAGUGGGAUAGCAAUAAUAUUAGAUCAAAAAGGAUAUUGUCUGGACUGCACCCACUGACAAGCACCACCGCAGCUCUUUGCAGAACCACAGAAGCCUCGCUUAAACAUUUGCACAAUCUUAUGAGAAAUUUUAAGUUGUAAACAAAAACCUCCCAUAAAAAUAAAUUUGAACGGCCUGUACCUCAAAAUAUAAUGCACUCAUAAUGUUUUCCAGUAAAAAUCUGUAUACGUGUUUUGUUAGUGGAACAUUUUAUAUUUAAAAGUUCAAACUCCAUAAUUCAACAUCCAAAGCACUGUAUCUUCAAGACGUCUCAAAGCUAUAUAACAAUAUGCCUAUUUCUGUAUACAGUCACCAAAUGUUAUUUGUCCUUAUAGCCAUAGUGAAUUAUCAUAUCAAAAUACCCAAAUUACUAACCUCAAUAAAAUCAAUAAAAUAUGCACAUGUGAGCAGAAUACAAUGGGAAACAUAAAAACAUUGCUCCAUAUUGAUAUUUGUGGUUGAAAACAUACCCUUUUAACCACUUACACACCUCACAGUCUUCUGAAUAAAUGUAAUAAAUCUACUGUAGGUGCACACAUCUUUAUAUUACCCUAUGGAAAAGUAGGUAAUAUAAAGUGCAUAACCAGAGGAGCGACACCAUUCAGCAAUCGAGAGAAAGUAAUGCGUUAAGCAAAACAACUUGCAAUUUAUUUUUCAAUCAUAUCUUACAGCAGUAAAACUGAACACGUGAAGCUCAGACAUUAGCCGGAGGGGGCCUUCCUCUAUACAGUAACACUGAAUAUAGUAGUUAGCUAUGUUAGCUUAGCUGACAAUACACUCAACAAGACUUUGCAAAAAGGUGGAAUUAACACACGGCAUACAAAGUCCUGGAACGAGUCGGUGACACAUUUGUCACUUUGUUGUUGUCCUUAAGAACGCUAGUUGGCACAUAAAAAACUAAUAACUAAGCUAAUAUAUUUUUGUAAUAAAGUUUCUCACUUAUUGCACACCUUUCCCCACAUCUGCUCUCGUUAGAGGCCAAGGCCGUCUAUUACGUAUUAUUUUCUGGGUUUUUCAAAGGGAAACGCCCACUCAACUUUAAAAACAGUAACGUAGAUUACCACAGUAAGUAAAUCAAUAAGGUUAUAAAUAAUGUGAAUGCUAGUACUAGCUGAGUCAACGUUAACUGUGCUAAGCACAGAAGCUAAACAAUGUACUGCUGUGGACGCUGCCGUGUUAGUUUGGUAACAGCAAGGUAAAAUAGUUUUUGUUGAAGGAGUCUGGUGGAUUUGAAGAGAGCAAUAUAAAGGCUUCAUCUCCCCGACGGAAAUGGUUGUCUGACAGCAAGGUAAAGCGAAAAAUAUUCUAAAUAUAAUGUACACUUAAAACCGAUGUUGAUGUUUUUAGGUGGUCCUUUAUUUAGAUGGUUAAUAUAGGUUGCUGCCCCCGUCCACGGCAGGACGGUCCAUGUACGUUUUGAUAGUUUGUUUUUUCGUUUGAACCACAAAACAAAAUAUUUUUUGAAAUAUCAUGCACAUAUCAUGUCGGUGAUGAUUCUGCCAUUUUUAUAGCUAGAACAGUACGUUUUCCCAUUUAUAUCAAGUUUCUAUUGUGGAAAAUGUCGUUUCACUAGGUUUUUACGUGGGUUAAGUCACUGCAUCUAAAUAAGUGCCCUUAAUGACCCACAGCCCAUCAGUCUCCAUAGGAUAACAGGAAAACUCGACCCCCUACCUGGUGGGGCCCAAAUAUAUUUUCAUCUUUCUAAAACUGCUUUUCCAUCCCCUCCAUGAAUUAUUGUAUAAACACAGAUAUUUGCGCAUUUACUUAAAAUACAUGGAGUUACAGCCAGGUCGGGGACAGUUGAAACAACCUUCCUGACAUAGACAUAUGCCAUCAGGGCAUGAAGUUAACUUUUUUGACCACCUGCCAAAGUAACUUUU